GACGAACGCUGGCGGCGUGCUUAACACAUGCAAGUCGAACGGAAAGGCCCUGCUUUUGUGGGGUGCUCGAGUGGCGAACGGGUGAGUAACACGUGAGUAACCUGCCCUUGACUUUGGGAUAACUUCAGGAAACUGGGGCUAAUACCGGAUAGGAGCUCCUGCUGCAUGGUGGGGGUUGGAAAGUUUCGGCGGUUGGGGAUGGACUCGCGGCUUAUCAGCUUGUUGGUGGGGUAGUGGCUUACCAAGGCUUUGACGGGUAGCCGGCCUGAGAGGGUGACCGGCCAAAUUGGGACUGAGAUACGGCCCAGACUACUACGGGAGGCAGCAGUGGGGAAUAUUGCACAAUGGGCGGAAGCCUGAUGCAGCAACGCCGCGUGCGGGAUGACGGCCUUCGGGUUGUAAACCGCUUUCGCCUGUGACGAAGCGUGAGUGACGGUAAUGGGUAAAGAAGCACCGGCUAACUACGUG
rnacentral:rRNA from 1 species